AGGGUGCAGGGCGGAUGCCUUGGCACUAGGAGCCGAUGAAAGACGUGAUAAGCUGCGAUAAGCUUCGGGGAGUGGCACAUACACUUUGAUCCGGAGAUUUCUGAAUGAGGAAACUCACUUGGAGUAAUGUCCAAGUAUCCUUAGGUGAAUACAUAGCCUAAGGAGGGGAACUCAGGGAACUGAAACAUCUAAGUACCUGAAGGAAGAGAAAGAAAUUCGAUUCCGCUAGUAGCGGCGAGCGAACGCGGAAGAGCCCAAACCAAGUUAGUUUACUAAUUUGGGGUUGCGGACAUAUCUUAAGGAGUAGUUAUUGCGAGUGGAAGAGUUCUGGAAAGUUCUACCACAGAGGGUAAUAGUCCCGUACACAAAGCCAAGAAGACUCUUGAUAUGAUCCAGAGUACCACGAGACACGUGAAACCUUGUGGGAAGCAGGGGGGACCACCCCCCAAGGCUAAAUACUACCUAGUGACCGAUAGCGUAUAGUACCGUGAGGGAAAGGUGAAAAGAACCCCGGGAGGGGAGUGAAAUAGAACCUGAAACCCUGCACUUACAAUCUGUGGGAGCGCAUUACUGGCGUGACCGCGUACUUUUUGUAGAACGGGCCAACGAGUUACGUUAUGUGGCAAGGUUAAGCACUUAAGGUGUGGAGCCGUAGCGAAAGCGAGUCUUAACUGGGCGACAUAGUCACAUGACGUAGACCCGAAACCGGGCGACCUACCCAUGAGCAGGAUGAAGCGAAAGUAAAAUUUCGUGGAGGUCCGAACCCACGUACGUUGAAAAGUGCGGGGAUGACUUGUGGGUAGCGGUGAAAUUCCAAUCGAGCUCGGAGAUAGCUGGUUCUCCUCGAAAUAGCUUUAGGGCUAGCCUUGAAUGUAGAGAUGUGGAGGUAGAGCACUGAAUGUCCUAGGGGGUAUUGCACUUACCGAAGACUAUCAAACUCCGAAUGCCAUAAUCUUUUAUUCAGGAGUCAGACUAUGGGUGAUAAGGUUCAUAGUCGAAAGGGAAAGAGCCCAGACCGUCAGCUAAGGUCCCUAAAUGUAUGUUAAGUGGUAAAGGAUGUGGGAUUGCAUAGACAACCAGGAUGUUGGCUUAGAAGCAGCCAUUCAUUUAAAGAGUGCGUAAUAGCUCACUGGUCGAGUGAUCCUGCGCCGAAGAUUUCCGGGGCUAAAACAUACUACCGAAGCUACGGCAUCGAAAGAUGGGUAGAGGAGCUUCCCAUGCAGGAUGAAGCAGUACCGUAAGGAGCUGUGGACAGUAUGGGAGAGAGAAUGUUGGCAUGAGUAGCGAGAUGAAGGUGAGAAUCCUUCAGGCCGUAAACCCAAGGUUUCCAGGGGAAGGUUCGUCCUCCCUGGGUUAGUCGGGACCUAAGCUCAGGCCGAAAGGCGUAGGCGAUGGACAACAGGUUGAAAUUCCUGUACUACCGAUAAUCGUUUGAGAGAUGGGAUGACACAGUAGGAUAAGCUGAGCACACUGUUGGUUAUGUGUGUCUAAGUAUUGAGGCAGAUCGAAUAGGCAAAUCCGUUUGAUUAAUGCUGGGAUACGAUGGGGAGCGAAACUAAGUAGCGAAGCAGCUGAUUUCACACUGUCGAGAAAAGUCUCUAUCGAGAUUAAAGGUACCCGUACCGCAAACCGACACAGGUGGGUGAGGAGAGUAUCCUAAGGCCAGCGAGAGAACUGUUGUUAAGGAACUCGGCAAAAUGACCCCGUAACUUAGGGAUAAGGGGUGCCCCAGAAAUGGGGCCGCAGAGACGGCGGCCGUAACUAUAACGGUCCUAAGGUAGCGAAAUUCCUUGUCGGGUAAGUUCCGACCCGCACGAAAGGCGUAACGAUUUGGGCACUGUCUCAACAACAGACUCGGUGAAAUUGUAGUCCCGGUGAAGAUGCCGGGUACCUGCGACAGGACGGAAAGACCCCAUGGAGCUUUACUGUAGCUUGACAUUGGGUCUCGGUACUACAUGUACAGGAUAGGUGGGAGACUGAGAAAUCUGGGCGUCAGUUUAGAUGGAGUCAUCCUUGGGAUACCACCCUUGUAGUAUUGGGACUCUAACCAUAGGCCAUGAAUCUGGUCUUGGGACACUGUCUGGUGGGCAGUUUGACUGGGGCGGUCGCCUCCCAAAAGGUAACGGAGGCGCUCAAAGGUUCCCUCAGUACGGUCGGAAAUCGUACGAAGAGUGUAAAGGCAAAAGGGAGCUUGAUUGCAAGACAUACAGGGCCAUCGCUCAACGGAUAAAAGCUACCCUGGGGAUAACAGGCUUAUCUCCCCCAAGAGUCCACAUCGACGGGGAGGUUUGGCACCUCGAUGUCGGCUCAUCACAUCCUGGGGCUGUAGUUGGUCCCAAGGGUUGGGCUGUUCGCCCAUUAAAGUGGUACGCGAGCUGGGUUCAGAACGUCGUGAGACAGUUCGGUCCCUAUCCGUCGCAGGCGUAGGAAAUUUGAGGAGAUCUGUCCUUAGUACGAGAGGACCGGGAUGGACAUACCUCUGGUGUACCAGUUGUUCUGCCAAGGGCAUGGCUGGGUAGCUAUGUAUGGAAAGGAUAAGCGCUGAAAGCAUCUAAGCGCGAAGCCAACUUCAAGAUAAGAUUUCCCACCGCAAGGUUAAGAUUCCAGGAAGACUACCUGGUUGA
rnacentral:rRNA from 1 species